GUUGCGCGUGCGGAAGCCGGUGCUGUCGUCCACGCCGCGGUAGAAAAGCGGAUGGGCAUAUGCGUCAGGGAUGUUCAGGAUCUGGCCCGUGGUCGCCACGUGUCCCGCGAUGCCCUGAUCGGCCGGGAUGCGGAUCUCAUAGCUCUGCCGGGGCAGAGAUGGAGUCGAGAGGAAGAAGUUAGUGACCCGGCCACAGAGGGGACUGUUAAACGUCGGGCCGCUCCCCAGCGCCGCCGGCGGACUCCCGGACACCCCUAGGGCCACAUGCUCCCUCCACACCCUCUCACCUCAUCAUCCACCACGCCCCCGUCGAACACCUUGGCCACCAGCUCAUUCUGAUCCAGCAGGAACACAGAGCAGCUGUGGAGGGAGGGGUUUGGUCCUCUGGGGCCUGACAACCCCCUCUGAUCGCCCUCACUUCUCAUAAAGAGGCAAAGGCCGGAUUUCCGAGGCCUGGGAGGAGUGCUCCAAGGGCUCACCGGACAAGCCAGGAACUGUCAGUGUCUAAUUGUAUCAUUUGGCUGCUAAGUGAAGGAGUGAGGGAAUAGCCCCGGUGCAGGCCCACCCAACUGUCAACACAGUUCCAUGCUGGUAGGUUCUGCAGCUCAGACCUAGGACUCCUGGAUCUCCACCCUACCCCAGCAGACCUCAGGCCCGGGCUCUGACACCUACCUAGUCCCAGGCUCUCUAGUGUCCACCUCCUGCAGGAGCUCCAGGCCCUGAAACCCAGCCUGUUUGCUUGGACUCCAGAGGCCAGCAUCCUAUCAGCAUCUCUUUGCAUCAGGACUCAGCCCCUCAUCUGUCUACUUCUCCCCACCUAUGUGAUGCAGCACAAACUGCUCAUCCUGCCAGCCCAAGUGUGAACCUGCACCCAGGACAGAAAUGGCUCAUCAGACGCAGCACUGUUUCUCCCUGAA
rnacentral:lncRNA from 1 species